GAUGAACGCUGGCGGCGUGCCUAAUACAUGCAAGUCGAGCGAACGGACGAGAAGCUUGCUUCUCUGAUGUUAGCGGCGGACGGGUGAGUAACACGUGGAUAACCUACCUAUAAGACUGGGAUAACUUCGGGAAACCGUAGCUAAUACCGGAUAAUAUUUUGAACCGCAUGGUUCAAAAGUGAAAGACGGUCUUGCUGUCACUUAUAGAUGGAUCCGCGCUGCAUUAGCUAGUUGGUAAGGUAACGGCUUACCAAGGCAACGAUGCAUAGCCGACCUGAGAGGGUGAUCGGCCACACUGGAACUGAGACACGGUCCAGACUCCUACGGGAGGCAGCAGUAGGGAAUCUUGCGCAAAGGGCGAAAGCCUGACGGAGCAACGCCGCGUGAGUGAUGAAGGUCUUCGGAUCGUAAAACUCUGUUAUUAGGGAAGAACAGAUGUGUAAGUAACUGUGCACAUCUUGACGGUACCUAAUCAGAAAGCCACGGCUAACUACGUG
rnacentral:rRNA from 1 species